GCCUGGGUGGCUCAGUCGGUUUAGCCUCUGACUUCGGCUCAGGUCAUGACCACGCAGUUCGUGGGUUCGAGCCCCGCAUUGGGCU
rnacentral:tRNA from 1 species